rnacentral:SRP_RNA from 10 species
GCUUGGUGUAGUGGUGCAUGCUUGUAGUUCCAGCUACAAGGCUGAGGCAGGAGGAUUGAUUGAGGCCAGGAGUUCUGGGCUGUAGUGUGCUAUGCUGAUCAGGUGUGUACACUAAAUUCAGUAUCAAUAAGGUGACCUCCCGGGAGUGGAGGAUCACCAGGUUGCCUAAGUAGGGGUAAACUGGCCCAGGUGGAAAUGAAGCGGGUCAGAACUCCUGUGCUGAUCAGUAGUGGGAUCACACCUGUUUAUAGCCACUGCACUCCAGCCCGGGCAACAGGAGACUCCAUAUUUUUUUU